rnacentral:miRNA from 2 species
GUGCAUUGUGGUUGCAUUGCA